rnacentral:rRNA from 1 species
AUGCAAGUCGAGGGGAAACGAUAUUGGAAGCUUGCUUCCGAUAGGCGUCGACCGGCGCACGGGUGAGUAACGCGUGUGCAACCAACCCCGUACCGGGAGAUAACCCGCGGAAACGUGGACUAACAUCCCAUGAUACUCGAGAGCCGCAUGGCUCUAGAUUUAAAAUUCCGGUGGUACGGGACGGGCACGCGCGACAUUAGGUAGUUGGCGGGGUAAGGGCCCACCAAGCCGACGAUGUCUAGGGGUUCUGAGAGGAAGGUCCCCACAUUGGAACUGAGACACGGUCCAAACUCC